rnacentral:lncRNA from 1 species
AUGAGGCAAAAAGGUCUAGUCCAUCAGGACUGGAAGGAGGUGAGAAAAUGGCCCUGGCACUCCUUGUCUGAAGACACCGCGAAUAGUGUCUUUGCCCACAGCAUCCAGCCUCCCGCGCAAGCAGGCUCCGGGCCAGACGCUCUUGAAAGCAGAAAUCGUCACUUGGGCAUCAUCUCUCAGCAAGCAUGUUUCUGUGCGUCUCGUCACGGGAGGCUUACACCCCUGGGGAAGCAGGAUGUACAGAGGGAGGAACUGAGGCUCAGAGAAGGUCUCUUGGCUUCUCUCUCCUUACUCCUUCCCAGGAAGUCUCCCCACCUGCAAGAGAGAAGCAGUUCAUCGGUCCUAAUGUACAGUGAGAUGAAGACCAGUGAAAUGGGGAACAAAUCAAAGGCAAGGGGAGGGGUAUCAGGUGGCAAAUCUGAAGACUAAGAGUUGGUUGGGUUUUCAAGGUCACACACUGAGGUUGUGCAGAGCUUGGAUGAAAACCAGCAGCGGAAUUUGUUUGUACCAUGGCCCCAGUCUGGUCCUUAUGGAUACUGUGUCACUGAACUCUGUCAUGGUACCAACUCCCACUGGGUACCUGAGGUUCUCGGGGAUUUUAAGCCUCAAAGAAGAUUCCUCUCAAUGGAAUCUAGGACAUUUGACUUCAGUUAACUGGAAUCUGUGCUAUGGAGUGUUGAGAUUACAUAGUCCCCCAAAUGGCACCAAGACUGCAUCCUGUUUUCCAUGACGUUUCCAAGCCUCCUAUCUGAACAACACUCUGCAUUGGAUUUUAAAACCAUUAAGCAAACCAAUUUUCAAACUACAUAGCAGUUUCCCUAUCAUUGGAUUUAACUGGAUCCAAGUUAUGAAUUUGAUAGUGAUUUUACCUCACAUUUUGUGGGAGGCACAAACUUAGCCCCUGCGCUUGAUCUUAAAACAUUAAUAACUGACCAUCUGCAGCUUUCAUCAAAAUAGUAGUCUCCUGGGGCGCCUGGGUGGCUCAGUGGGUUAAAGCCUCUGCCUUUGGCUCAGGUCAUGAUCUCAGCGUCCUGGGAUGGAGCCCUGCAUCGGACACUCUGCUCAGCGGGGAGCCUGCUUCCUCCUCUCUGCCUGCCUCUCUGCCUACUUGUGAUCUCUG